rnacentral:piRNA from 1 species
UAAAAAUCAUCAUUUGUUUGG